rnacentral:lncRNA from 1 species
CUCCAAAUUUCCAUGUGCACAAAACUAAACCAUCAAGACGGAGUCCUUCUAACUAAACUAAGCUAUGUAGGUCACCAAAACCCAAAAGAAUUGUCGCAAAACACCUGUAGAAACUCAUUACCUCGUAAACCUCCAAAGAACUAAUCAUAUCCUUACCAUACUGACUCGGCUUACUACCAAGCUAUCCCAUCUAUCCGAGUUUCCUUCUGAUUUACCUUCAACUUGAUACU